UACAGAGGUCUCAAGCGUUGUUCGGAUUCAUUGGGCGUAAAGGGCGCGUAGGCGGCGGGGUAAGUCGGGUGUGAAAUCUCAGGGCUCAACCCUGAAACUGCACUCGAUACUGCUCUGCUUGAGGACUGGAGAGGAGACUGGAAUUCACGGUGUAGCAGUGAAAUGCGUAGAUAUCGUGAGGAAGACCAGUGGCGAAGGCGGGUCUCUGGACAGUUCCUGACGCUGAGGCACGAAGGUCAGGGGAGCAAACGGGG
rnacentral:rRNA from 1 species